AGAAUCAACGCUGGCGGCGUGCCUAACACAUGCAAGUCGAACGAGAAAGGGGUAGCAAUACCCUGAGUAAAGUGGCGCACGGGUGAGUAACACGUGACUAACCUACCCUUGAGUGGGGGGAUAACUGAGGGAAACCUUAGCUAAUACCGCAUAAUACCCACGGGUCAAAGGAGCAAUUCGCUCGAGGAGGGGGUCGCGGCCGAUUAGUUAGUUGGCGGGGUAAUGGCCCACCAAGACGAUGAUCGGUAUCCGGCCUGAGAGGGCGCACGGACACACUGGAACUGAAACACGGUCCAGACUCCUACGGGAGGCAGCAGUGGGGAAUUUUGCGCAAUGGGGAACCCUGACGCAGCAACGCCGCGUGGAGGAUGAAGUCCUUCGGGACGUAACUCCUUUCGAUCGGGACGAUUAUGACGGUACCGGAAGAAGAAGCCCGGCUAACUUCGUGCCAGCAGCCGC
rnacentral:rRNA from 1 species